rnacentral:tRNA from 3 species
GGCGGGGUAGCUCAGUUGGUUAGAGCAGCGGAAUCAUAAUCCGCGUGUCGGGGGUUCAAAUCCCUCCCUCGCUACCA